GAGCUAAUGAUGGAACAAGGCUUUCUUGUAACUUCGACUUCAAGCCAAGGAAACCUUCCUCUCCUUUUCCUUUUCUUAAAAAAUAUAUAAAUAAUAUUUUCCCUCUGACAAGAAGCUUUCAGUUGAUUUCAGUUUGUUGGUGGUAGCUCUAUAGGUCCUAUCCACUGAAAAUGGGUUCUCCCAAGGAACCUAAAACAAUGGGCUACUAUUCCUAAUCGGGUUAUACCCGAACCUUUUCAACCCAAUGGGUCCAUCUAUUCAAGAGUCGGGACCCUCCCCUUUCCCUCCCUUUCACUCUUCCUUCCCAUUUGUGUCUCAGAGCCACGAGCCUCAACUCUUCACUCGCGUGUUGUGGCAAUGAGUAAGCAAAUAUUAAGAAUCAGAAUGUGUAGUGGUAAUCAGGCUCAGGAUGACCUGUUGGGAAGCAAGACUUUGGACCAAAACUCUGAAGCCUUCACAAGGAGGAUAGUUGCUCUUCUAGUUGAGAUUGAAGAGUGCAUGCAUGAGCUGGAAGAAGCGCUUGCUGGCCUUGAAGAAGUUAUUGCACUAAUUAACAAGAUUAACUGUUUCUUUGGUGCAAUUCUGGUAGUUUUAUGUCUGUUUAAAUUGCUUAAAUCUGUGGAGUUACUCUGAGCAUACCCAACUAUAGGGUUUGUGGUCUGCUUAUGAAUGUCACCUAGUUUGUUCUUAUGUUUACAGGUAUAGCUUACUGACCAUUUGUGGUCUUCUUUUGCCUAUGUUUGUAAAUAUAGCUGACUGACCAUUUCUGGUUUUGUUUUACCUAUGAGGGUAUGAAUAAUGUAUAGUGUUUUUCUUUUUUUGCU